UGGGGAAUUUUGGACAAUGGGCGAAAGCCUGAUCCGGCAAUGCCGCGUGUGUGAAGAAGGCCUUCGGGUUGUAAAGCACUUUUGUCCGGAAAGAAAUCCUUGGCUCUAAUACAGUCGGGGGAUGACGGUACCGGAAGAAUAAGCACCGGCUAACUACGUGCCAGCAGCCGCGGUAAUACGUAGGGUGCAAGCGUUAAUCGGAAUUACUGGGCGUAAAGCGUGCGCAGGCGGUUUGCUAAGACCGAUGUGAAAUCCCCGGGCUCAACCUGGGAACUGCAUUGGUGACUGGCAGGCUAGAGUAUGGCAGAGGGGGGUAGAAUUCCACGUGUAGCAGUGAAAUGCGUAGAGAUGUGGAGGAAUACCGAUGGCGAAGGCAAUCCCCUGGGCCUGCACUGACGCUCAUGCACGAAAGCGUGGGGAGCAAACAGGAUUAGAUACCCUGGUAGUCCACGCCCUAAACGAUGUCAACUAGUUGUUGGGGAUUCAUUUCCUUAGUAACGUAGCUAACGCGUGAAGUUGACCGCCUGGGGAGUACGGUCGCAAGAUUAAAACUUAAAUGAAUUGACGGGGUCAUA
rnacentral:rRNA from 1 species